ACACUUAUCUAAGAGAUAACAUGAUCACAAAGGUGUUUUUCCCAGGGUGAGGUUUAUCCAUUGCACUCCGGAUGAGCUGACGCCUGCAAUUUCCCUAAAUGUGGGAAAUUUGACUGCAUAAUUUGUGCUGGUGGGGGACUGCAUUCGUGCUCUCCCCUG